AAUCAACGCUGGCGGCGUGCCUCAGACAUGCAAGUCGAACGAUUAAAGCUCUCUUCGGAGAGUGUAUAGAGUGGCGCACGGGUGAGUAACACGUAAGUAAUCUACCUUCGAGUGGGGAAUAACGUCCGGAAACGGACGCUAAUACCGCAUAAUGCAGCGGCAUCGCAAGAUGACAGUUGUUAAAGAUUUAUCGCUUGAAGAGGAGCUUGCGGCAGAUUAGCUAGUUGGUAAAGGUAAUGGCUUACCAA
rnacentral:rRNA from 1 species